CCAGGAUGAGGUAGUGGGUUGUAUAGUUGAGAAUGACACCCCGGGAGAUGACUGUACAACCUCCUAGCUUUUCCUGA
rnacentral:pre_miRNA from 1 species